AUUGUGGGAAUGAGUGAGGAGUCAAGACCCCCAUCUCACUUUUAAUGUGAAUCUUGUGAUGCCCCAGACCCUGUCUGAGCCACCAGAGGGGCACCCUGCUGGACUCUGCCUGGGCCCUGUGAUUAAUGGGAGUGACAGGAGGCCAGGCUCUUCUAGAAAACAGGCUGGAGGUGAAAACAAGUAGACAGUGAAUCAUUAGCUGGGAAUACACCCCCCACUGCUCUAUCUGGAGUCUCUCACCAUUUCCGUGGCAGUCUGGAGUUGUUUGUGAGAAGCCGUGAAUCAAAGCAAGAGAUUCCCAGCUAAAAGCUAGGCUGGAUGGCGGGCGCGGACUGCCUUGGCCAGGAACUGCUGCUCUACAUAUGAAGCAUGGAGAAUGAGCUCCCAAACUCUCAGCAUGAUCUAAAGAUGGACAGAGCAAGCCUGUCACUGAGAAAAUGAGCAUCAGGGUUGCUCUGGAUUAUAUGUGGGUGUGGGCAUGGGUAUGUGCUACACUUACUGCAUACAGGGAGACGAGUCCACUGUGCUCAUCUAAAGACAUGUUUAUUCAACAGAGUUUGCUUCCCUUGAGAUCUGGUUAACAUCCUGAAUAAUAAAAUGUCAUGUGCUUGGUAAA